rnacentral:rRNA from 1 species
CCUACGGGCGGCUGCAGUGGGGAAUCUUGGACAAUGGGCGCAAGCCUGAUCCAGCCAUGCCGCGUGAGUGAAGAAGGCCUUAGGGUUGUAAAACUCUUUCGCCGGUGAAGAUAAUGACGGUAACCGGAGAAGAAGCCCCGGCUAACUUCGUGCCAGCAGCCGCGGUAAUACGAAGGGGGCUAGCGUUGUUCGGAAUUACUGGGCGUAAAGCGCACGUAGGCGGGUUUGUAAGUAGGGGGUGAAAUCCCAGGGCUCAACCCUGGAACUGCCUUCUAAACUGCAAGCCUGGAGGUCAGGAGAGGCGAGUGGAAUACCGAGUGUAGAGGUGAAAUUCGUAGAUAUUCGGUGGAACACCAGUGGCGAAGGCGACUCGCUGGACUGAUACUGACGCUGAGGUGCGAAAGCGUGGGGAGCAAACAGGAUUAGAUACCCCGGUAGUC